rnacentral:rRNA from 1 species
CAUAUGGAGAGUUUGAUCCUGGCUCAGGAUGAACGCUGGCGGCGUGCCUAAUACAUGCAAGUCGAACGAAUGAAGUAACUAG